UUGUAAUCUAUAGAGGCGUUUUCCGCGCCGGACCGCGUCCAAGUCUCUUGGAAUAGAGUAUCAAAGAGGGUGACAAUCCCGUACUUGACGCGACAACCGGUGCUCUGUGAUACGUUCUCAAUGAGUCGAGUUGUUUGGGAAUGCAGCUCUAAAUGGGUGGUAAAUUCCAUCUAAGGCUAAAUAUUGGCGAGAGACCGAUAGCGAACAAGUACCGUGAGGGAAAGAUGAAAAGCACUUUGGAAAGAGAGUUAAACAGCACGUGAAAUUGUUAAAAGGGAAACGAUUGAAGUCAGUCGUGUGAAAGGUAUUCAGCCGUCUCUGGCGGUGUAUUUGCCUUUCACGGGUCAACAUCAGUUUGAUCCGGUAGAAAAAGGCGGGAGGAAGGUGGCACCCUCGGGUGUGUUAUAGCCUCCUGUCAUAUGUGCCGGACCAGACUGAGGAACGCAGCUUGCCGCAAGGCCGGGGUUCGCCCACGUACAAGCUUAGGAUGUUGACAUAAUGGCUUUAAACGACCCGUCUUG
rnacentral:rRNA from 1 species